CCUACGGGAGGCAGCAGUGAGGAAUAUUGGUCAAUGGUCGGGAGACUGAACCAGCCAAGCCGCGUGAGGGAUGAAGGUACAGAGUAUCGUAAACCUCUUUUGUCAGGGACCAAAGGCGGGGACGUGUCCCCGGAUGAGUGUACCUGAAGAAAAAGCAUCGGCUAACUCCGUGCCAGCAGCCGCGGUAAUACGGAGGAUGCGAGCGUUAUCCGGCUUUAUUGGGUUUAAAGGGGGCGCAGGGGGUCUGUUAAGUCAGCGGUAAAAGCCCGGGGCUCAACCCCGGCCCGCCGUUGAGACUGGCAGUCUCGAGUUGGAGAGAAGUAUGCGGAAUGCGCGGUGUAGCGGUGAAAUGCAUAGAUAUCGCGCAGAACUCCGAUUGCGAAGGCAGCAUGCCGGCUCCACACUGACGCUGAGGCACGAAAGCGUGGGUAUCGAACAGGAUUAGAUACCCUUGUAGUC
rnacentral:rRNA from 1 species